GACGAACGCUGGCGGCGUGCUUAACACAUGCAAGUCGAACGGAAAGGCCCUGCUUUUGUGGGGUGCUCGAGUGGCGAACGGGUGAGUAACACGUGAGUAACCUGUCCUUGACUUUGGGAUAACUUCAGGAAACUGGGGCUAAUACCGGAUAGGAGCUCCUGCUGCAUGGUGGGGGUUGGAAAGUUUCGGCGGUUGGGGAUGGACUCGCGGCUUAUCAGCUUGUUGGUGGGGUAGUGGCUUACCAAGGCUUUGACGGGUAGCCGGCCUGAGAGGGUGACCGGCGACACGGGGACUGAGAGAGGGCGCAGGAUCCUACGGUGGGCAGCAGGGGGGAAGAUUGAACAACGGGGGGAAGACUGAUGAACCAGCGCCGGGGGGGGGAAGACGGGGUUGUGGGGGUAAACCGCCGUUGCCUGGGAAGAAGAGGGAGGGACGGUAAGGGGUAAAAAAGCACCGCCUAACUACGCG
rnacentral:rRNA from 1 species